rnacentral:tRNA from 1 species
GAGGGUAGAACUCAGUGAUAGAGCACAUGCUUAGCACGCAUGCGGUCCUGGGUUCAAUCCCCAGGACCUCCA